GCACUAGAAACGCGCGUACACCAGCUAUGAAGUUGGUGUGGAGCACUGCACAUUUCCACAGUCAUGUCACUCUUUGCACAUCUGAACAUGAGCGUGGUAAAGGGCGUACGCCACGUUUUUGUGUGUACACAACCUUUGUACAUGAGGCCCCUGAACUCUGCACUAAAAAA